CCUACGGGGGGCAGCAGUGAGGAAUAUUGGUCAAUGGGCGGAAGCCUGAACCAGCCAAGUAGCGUGCAGGAUGACGGCCCUACGGGUUGUAAACUGCGUUUAUACGGGAAUAACGCGCCUUACGUGUAGGGCUUUGCAUGUACCGUAUGAAUAAGGACCGGCUAAUUCCGUGCCAGCAGCAGCGGUAAUACGGAAGGUCCGGGCGUUAUCCGGAUUUAUUGGGUUUAAAGGGAGCGUAGGCCGCAUGUCAAGCGUGCUGUGAAAUGUCCGGGCUCAACCCGGGCCUUGCAGCGCGAACUGGGGUGCUUGAGUGCGCGGAAGGCAGGCGGAAUUCGUCGUGUAGCGGUGAAAUGCUUAGAUAUGACGAAGAACCCCGAUUGCGAAGGCAGCUUGCUGCAGCGGAACUGACGCUGAUGCUCGAAAGCGCGGGUAUCGAACAGGAUUAGAUACCCGGGUAGUC
rnacentral:rRNA from 1 species